GACGAACGCUGGCGGCGUGCUUAACACAUGCAAGUCGAGCGGAAAGGCCCUUCGGGGUACUCGAGCGGCGAACGGGUGAGUAACACGUGAGUAAUCUGCCCUUGGCUUUGGGAUAACUACCGGAAACGGUGGCUAAUACCGGAUACGACAACCGUCUGCAUGGGCUGGUUGUGGAAAGUUUUUUCGGCCAGGGAUGUGCUCGCGGCCUAUCAGCUUGUUGGUGGGGUAAUGGCCUACCAAGGCUUCGACGGGUAGCCGGCCUGAGAGGGUGACCGGCCACACUGGGACUGAGACACGGCCGAGACUCCUACGGGAGGCAGCAGUGGGGAAUAUUGGACAAUGGGCGGAAGCCUGAUCCAGCAACGCCGCGUGAGGGAUGACGGCCGUCGGGUUGUAAACCUCUUUCAGUACCGACGAAGCGCCGAUGAUGGUGGUGACGGUAGGUACAGAAGAAGCACCGGCCAACUACGUG
rnacentral:rRNA from 1 species